rnacentral:rRNA from 1 species
UACGAAGGGUGCAAGCGUUACUCGGAAUUACUGGGCGUAAAGCGUGCGUAGGUGGUGAGUUAAGUCUGUCGUGAAAGCCCCGGGCUCAACCUGGGAAUGGCGAUGGAUACUGGCUCGCUAGAGUGCGGUAGAGGAGAGUGGAAUUCCCGGUGUAGCAGUGAAAUGCGUAGAGAUCGGGAGGAACAUCAGUUGCGAAGGCGGCUCUCUGGACCAGCACUGACGCUGAGGCACGAAAGCUAGGGGAGCGAACAGG